rnacentral:rRNA from 1 species
CUACGGGUGGCACCAGUGAGGAAUAUUGCACAAUGGGGGGAACCCUGAUGCAGCAACGCCGCGUGGAGGAUGACGCAUUUCAGUGUGUAAACUCCUUUUAUAUGUCAAGAAAAUGACGGUAGCAUAUGAAUAAGCACCGGCUAACUCCGUGCCAGCAGCCGCGGUAAUACGGAGGGUGCAAGCGUUACUCGGAAUCACUGGGCGUAAAGGACGCGUAGGCGGGUUGGAAAGUCAGGUGUGAAAUCCUACAGCUUAACUGUAGAACUGCACUUGGAACUUCUAAUCUAGAGUAUGGGAGGGGGAGAUGGAAUUAGUGGUGUAGGGGUAAAAUCCGUAGAUAUCACUAGGAAUACCUAAAGCGAAGGCGAUCUCCUAGAACAUUACUGACGCUAAGGCGUGAAAGCGUGGGGAGCAAACAGGAUUAGAUACCCCUGUAGUC